rnacentral:rRNA from 1 species
GACGAACGCUGGCGGCGUGCUUAACACAUGCAAGUCGAACGGUAAGGCCCUUCGGGGUACACGAGUGGCGAACGGGUGAGUAACACGUGGGUGAUCUGCCCUGCACUUUGGGAUAAGCCUGGGAAACUGGGUCUAAUACCGGAUAGGACCACUGCCUGCAUGGGUGGUGGUGGAAAGCUUUUGCGGUGUGGGAUGGGCCCGCGGCCUAUCAGCUUGUUGGUGGGGUGAUGGCCUACCAAGGCGACGACGGGUAGCCGGCCUGAGAGGGUGACCGGCGACACUGGGACUGAGAUACGGCCCAGACUCCUACGGGAGGCAGCAGUGGGGAAUAUUGCACAAUGGGCGCAAGCCUGAUGCAGCGACGCCGCGUGAGGGAUGACGGCCUUCGGGUUGUAAACCUCUUUCAGCACCGACGAAGCGCAAGUGACGGUAGGUGCAGAAGAAGGACCGGCCAACUACGUGCCAGCCGCCGCGGUAACAC